UACGUAGGGGGCAAGCGUUGUUCGGAAUUACUGGGCGUAAAGCGUGCGCAGGCGGUGAUGUAAGACAGAUGUGAAAUCCCCGGGCUCAACCUGGGAACUGCAUUUGUGACUGCAUCGCUGGAGUGCGGCAGAGGGGGAUGGAAUUCCGCGUGUAGCAGUGAAAUGCGUAGAUAUGCGGAGGAACACCGAUGGCGAAGGCAAUCCCCUGGGCCAACACUGACGCUCAUGCACGAAAGCGUGGGGAGCAAACAGG
rnacentral:rRNA from 1 species